GUUUUCAAAGUGGUAGAACCACUUUACACUCUGACCUACAAUGUUUGUGAGUUCCUGUAGACCCACAUUCUCGCAGAUACUUGGUACUAUCAGUCUUUUUAACCUUAGUCAUUCUAACGAUUAUAUAGUAUUAUUACAUUGUGAUUUCAAUUUGCAUUUCCCUAAUGACUAAUGCUGGUGAACAUAUUUUUAUGUACCUAUUUAUCAUCUGUAUAUCUUUCUGUUGACGUGUCAUUAAAAUCUUUUGACUAUUUUAAGUUUGCAUAUCUUAAUAUUGUAUUGGAAAGAUUCUUUAUAUGUUCUGGUUACAUGUUCUUUUUGGGUUGUAUGUUUUGUAAAUAUUUUCUCCCAGACUAUGCACUGUUUUUAAUUUUUAUUUCUUUUUUUUUUUUAAGAAAAGGUCUUGCUCUGUUGCCCAGGCUGGAAUGCCAUGGCACGAUCUCAGCUCCUUGCAGCCUUGACCUCCCAGGCUCAAGCAAUCCUCCUGCCUCAGCCUCCUGAGGAAACUACAGGGUGCAGCACCUCGCCCUGCUCUCGCUUCUUCCUUCUCCAGCCAUGUACGACAUGCCUGCUUCCCCUUUGCCUUCUGCCAUGAUUAUGUUUCCUGAGGCCUCCCCAGCCAUGCUUCCUGUACAGCCUGCAUAACUGGGCAACUUAGACAGAUACAGACGCACAUAGAAGAAACAUGAUGUGACGACUAGACAAACAUAGAAAGUAGACGACUAUCUAUAAACCCAUAAAAGAGACCUGGAAUAGAUUAUUUACUCACGGCCUUCAGAAGAAAUCAAUCCUGAUGACACAGUGAUUUCAGACUUCUAGCUUUCAAAAUUGUGAAUCAAUAAACUUCUAAUUUUUCAGCUGUACAAUUUGUGGCAUUUUGUUAUGGUAAUCUGAGCAAACUAAUACAGCCUCAUGUUAACACAAAAUGGGGUUAUUAAACAGUACAGUACAGUAGAGAAAGUCGAAAGUGAGUCCAUCCAGUCCUUCCUAUUCUUUUUUAAUACCAGAAAAAUGGUCUUUUUCCCUUCCCUUCCUUUCCCUUGCCUUCCCUUCCCUUCCCUUCCCUCCCUCCCCUACUCUCCCUUCCCCUCCCUUCCUUUGCCUUCCCUUUCUUUCUUUUCUCUCUUUCUCUUUUUUUUUGCUUCCUCUCUUUCUCUUUCUCUCUCUCUUUCU
rnacentral:lncRNA from 10 species